rnacentral:rRNA from 1 species
GGAGGCUACUGCUAUUGGAAUUCGACUAAGCCAUGCGAGUCAAGGUGUCUUCGGACGCCGGCAAACGGCUCAGUAACACGUAGGUAAUCUACCCUCAGGACUGAGAUAACCCCGGGAAACUGGGGCUAAUACCAGAUAGAUAAAAGAUACUGGAAUGUUCCUUUAUCCAAAGCUUUUGUGCCUGAGGAUGAGCCUGCGCCCGAUUAGGUAGUUGGUGGGGUAAUGGCCCACCAAGCCUGCGAUCGGUACGGGCCGUGAGAGCGGUAGCCCGGAGAUGGGCACUGAGACAAGGGCCCAGGCCCUACGGGGCGCAGCAGUCGCGCAAACUUUGCAAUACACGAAAGUGUGACAGGGCUAUCCCGAGUGCCGCCCGCUGAGGGUGGCUUUUGCUCAGUCUAGC